rnacentral:misc_RNA from 1 species
AUUAUUUGACCUUGCGGUUUAAAUAUUAGAACAAUCCAUAGGAAGAAGCUUUUUCAAAUUCAUCUUAUGAGUCAGGUCUUCCAUUGCUGAAAUUUAUCGUUCAAAAUUCAUCUUAUGAGUUGAGCCAGCCAUUGCUGAAAUUUAUGGUUUAAUAACCGUUCUCAUUAUUCUGCAACAACAGCUAAAUCAGAAGUAUUUUUUCUCAUAACCGACAAGACCAUGAACCCCUCCUUCAACUUGUGCUGCUCCUGUUCGGACCUCUAGCCUCAAUGAGCCUGAUCUUAAGAGAUGAUGAGCAGACUGCAGCGAGGAAGCACCUAGAUCCUGGAAUCCUUGUUUUACAGCUUGCAUUGUAUAAGGAACAAACUUCAGAACAGUACCCUUAUCAGCAACCGAACCAACGACACCCUGAGCAAUCUUUAGUUUAGCAGUAUCACCCAAGUAUCUUGCAUCGCUUCCUUUUGUCAUUGCUUCCAAAGAUCCCAUACCUCGAUACUUCUUCACACGGAGACCAUUCUUAUUUUCAUAAGUGCCAGGAGCUUCAUUGCUUCCAGCCAAGAAGCUCCCCAUCAUGACAGUUGAUGCUCCAAGCGACAAUGCCUUCACGAUAUGGCCAGAAUUAGAAAUCCCACCAUCAGCGAUAACAGGAACACCAUGCUGCUCAGCAAUUGAUGACACCUUGUAAACAGCAGUCGCCUGUCCACGACCCACAGCACAAACUUCUUGAGUGGUACAGAUGGACCCGGAGCCCAUCCCGACUCUCAGUCCAUCUACAUCAUGCUUAAUCAAGUUCUCCGCUUGGUACUUAGUGACUAUAUUUCCACCAAUCACAUCCAAGUGAGGAUAAGUAUGUUUCACAUACUUGAUCAUAUUAAUCUGAUACUCUGAGUUCCCUUGCGAGCUAUCAAUCACGAGAGCGUUAAUCCCAGCUUUCACCAAAUGCUCCAGCCUCUCUUUAUCAGAAUCCCUCGUCCCUAUUGCUGCACCCACCAAGAACUUCCCGUCUGUCCCUAAAGACGGCAAACCCAAUUUGGGAAGCGAAUUCAUUCUCUCCAAGUCAGUAGCUGUCACCAAAUUGACCACUUCCCUAUCCUUUUCAUUCACCAAUGGUACAAAGUCCAGCUUUUUAGAUGCUAUGUAGCCUGCUACGUCCUCAAAAUUAUAGCUUGAAGGCAGAGUGACCGGAGAAACGUUCAUAUAAUCAGAAAUUCUAGCUUGCUUGUCACUCAAACCGUUCCAAGUAGACUUACACACAACUCCUAAAAAUUUGGAUUCCUUAGUUCCUGACUCAGUGACGAAAAUACAAGGAGAGUUACCGAAUUCAUCAGCAGAAUGGAUAGAAUCGGAAGGGGAAGCAAAUAUCAAAUCCGAUGAGAAAGGGAUUUGAUGAGACUUAGCAGCGCGGAUAAUAGAAGCUUGUUGCGAAAUGGUGUUGUUGUAGUGAACGAUACCUAUACCACCUAGCGCCGCCAUUCCUACGGUCAUGGAGGUCUCAGUGACGGUGUCCAUCGGAGAAGCUACGCAUGGGAUGGAAAGGGAAAUAUUGCGGCUGAGCUUAGUAGAGAGGUUGACGGCAUCGGUAGGGAAGUCGAUGAAACCAGGGAGGAAGAUGACAUCGUCGUAGGUAUAGGAGUAGCCUUGAUUGAACAACUUCUCUGCUGAAAACCCGUCGUCGUUCAUGGUGGCGGCGAUGCGGCGGUAAUGGUGGCAGAAAAGGGUUUUUAGGGUUCCGUUGUUUAAUAGAAUUUCAAGGUGAAAUCAAA